AAGUGGCUUCGAUUGCCCGUUUGAGGCACUGGCGCACAGGCAAAAUAAUUGGUAACCUGCAGAAACAUAAGUUGCUGUCGUUCGAGAGAGGCACCAGGCCUGAGGCGUUAAGCCUCAACGUCUUUGGAUACGACUAUUUGGCGCUGAACUCCUUGCGGAAACGCGAUUCUGUCGAUGCCUUUGGAAACCAGAUUAGCGUGGGGAAGGAGAGCAAUAUUUAUAUUGUGUCUGCAGGGGAACAGGAAAGAUGCCUCAAGUUGCACCGGCGUGGAUUAUUGUACUUUAAAAGGAGCGUGAACAAGCCUAGCCAUCACCAAAGAAGAAAGUCUGCUUUCUGGCUGAACCUGUCUGCCAGAUCAGCGACCAAAGAGUUCGCUUGUAUGAAAGUCCUGCAUGAUCGCCAGUUUCCGGUGCCUCAACCCUACGAUCUCAGUCGACAUUGUGUGGUAAUGGAACUGAUCAAAGGCACUCUUCUUCAUCGCGUGCAUGAACUGGACAACGUAAAGGCUCUUUACGACAAACUGAUGAACAAUAUAAUGAAAUUUGUUUUGUUUUUUUUCUCGCAUGAUUUUUACUCACCAUGCAAAUGCUAAAAUGUUCUUCGAAAGGGAUGUGAAUUGCGUGAUCAACUUCUUCAGAAAAAGGUUCGGCUUCGAAAGCGAAACAUUCCCUCAAUUCUCAUACGUGGUGCGCUUGGACACCAUAGAUAUGGAGGCCGAGCGUAUUGGGCUCAAAGAGGACCUGGCCGAACUCAUCAAAGCAGUGAGGCAGCAACUCUGGAAUGAGUCCAAUAACUGCGAUGCUGGGACGACCGGUGAAUUAAAUGAAGAACCUCUGGAACACGUUCAUGUCGAAUUAGAUGAAGAUUUCGAUGGGUGAUUCUUCGAAGACUCUUUCGACGAAGAAGUGAACUGAAUAUUCAACUAAAAGGUUCAUUGCUCUAUGAUAAAAUUUCAGGGUAAAUCAAUUUCUUUUCUAUCGAAGAAGGUUUUGCAAUACGAGCGACACUUUGCUGUGCCUUCUUCUUUUCGGAAAACAGUCUCAAUUAGGGUUCCAAUAAUUUAUUAGCAGGUUUCUUUUUAGCUUUUGUUUUUUCUUCUGAGUUUUUUUUUAUAAAAUUAUAUUGUUGGAGUUGUCGAGUACUUAAACUGUUGGUAAAACUAGGCUUUGAAUAUACUGUUAAAUUUCA